rnacentral:misc_RNA from 1 species
UCCGGUUUGUCACCGGCAGUCUCGCAUGAGUCCCCAACUAAAUGCUGGCAACAUACGACGGGGGUUGCGCUCGUUGCGGGACUUAACCCAACAUCUCACGACACGAGCUGACGACAGUCAUGCAGCACCUUGCACUCUGCUUGGUUUUACCCAAGAGGCUCCAUCUCUGGAGUUGUCAGAGGCAUUCUAGCCCAGGUAAGGUUCUUCGCGUUGCGUCGAAUUAAACCACAUGCUCCACCGCUUGUGCGGGUCCCCGUCAAUUCCUUUGAGUUUUAGCCUUGCGGCCGUACUCCCCAGGCGGAGUGCUUAACGCGUUGGCUGCGACACCGCGGGGGUCAAUACCCACAGCAUCUAGCACUCAUCGUUUACGGUGUGGACUAC